ACACCUCAACUCUCCAUGGUUUUCCAUGAUGAGCUUGGACUUUGGGGGGUUUUUGCCGGCCUAUGGUCGGCUCCCCUAAAAUGAAUCAGCUUACCAGUGUUUGGUUGGCAUCGCAGGUGUGAUAACUAUCUACGCUUGUGGUUUUCCACCAGGUAACCUUCAGCAGUGGAGGUUCACUGAGGCUCAUAGAUGUCUCUCUUCAGUGAGGACAGCCCUUUGAAU
rnacentral:misc_RNA from 1 species